UAGGUUAAAGCCCGCUGGAUAGGGUGUUUAGUUGUUAAUUAAAGUUUUACGGGAUCGAGGCCCGUUAGCCUAG
rnacentral:tRNA from 1 species